rnacentral:misc_RNA from 1 species
CCGAGUUUACAACUCCCAAACCCCUGUGAACAUACCUGUUUUGUUGCUUCGGCGGUGCCCUCGCUCUCGUGGCGAGGCCCGCCAGAGGACCCAAACAAACUCUUUGACUUUGAUCUAGGAUUUAUACUUCUGAGUGAUAUACAAAAAUAAAUUA